rnacentral:tRNA from 1 species
UCUGUAGCUCAGUUGGUAGAGCAAAGGACUGAAAAUCCUUGUGUCGAUGGUUCGAUUCCAUCCGGA